CCCUUCCCUUAAAAGAAGUCUCACUGCCUGUUGGCUAGCUGGCAAAUGCAAUCUGCAACACCUGUGUGACAGAUAGGCACAGCUGUAAGCAUGCUGCUGUUGAUCCAUCUGUAGAAGGUACCACAUGCCAGUGUUUAUCUUAGAAUCUUUAGGAGUAGGGGGUGGGGGGAAAUCAUGUAUUACACCGUUAAGGUUUCUUUUUUCCCCACCGUUCAUCUUUUAUUUUCCCUCUCAUGUUGGUGUUUCCCCCUCCUUCUUACUAUGACUGUGUUAGUGAAUACUAAUGAGACAAUACAACCCAAGACAAUCACUGAUUGAGUGAAUAAAUUCACUGGGUACUGAACACCUGUGACCUAACUAACAAGGCAAGUUGAAGCCGGCUUACCUGAUUACAGCUAAGUAUUUUGGUUAGCACCUCUGGGUUUCCAUCUCUAAUUGCUGGUAAUGAUAACACUUGAAUCAUAAUUUGAUGGUCUGUAGGUUUCUCAGCUGUUUCUUCCCAUGCAAAAUAGAUAAUGGAAUAUUUUGCCCAUGACACUGAGUCUAUAUUUUGUAUGCGAUACAUCAGCAUUGUGUAAAUUUUAUGAACAACUUCUAUUAUCUUUGAAGCCACAGAAACAACAAACAGUUAUAAUUAUAGUCUGAAGAUGCUGUAGCGUUUCAAAUAUGCCUACAGUAGUGGUAUUACAAUGAAAAUGUUCUGUUUGCCUGCAGCUUUCACUGUGCUCAAUGACAUCACAAUUAUGCUGUAUUUGAGUUGAAACUUCUGUCCUUAAACAGAAACAGCUUGUCUGAAACCUUUUAGGUCUUCCUUCUAAUUUCUUCUGAUUCUUCCUUGAGUUAAAACAGUCAAAAUGGUGAAUACAGUAGGAUAGUGCAUUUUUACAGGCUUUGUGUCUGGGCUUGCUAACAGUAAGUUAUAGGUACUUUGUGUGGUUGUAUUUGGGAAAUGAAUGCAUGUUAUUUAAAACCUCUUUAUGUGCAUCUGCUACUUGUCAACUUGUGAUCUUCUGAUCCUUGAGUAUUUGGCAACCCUGUGAUUUGUGAUAAUGGAAUUACAAAAAAAAAAAGUAAUCAACAAAGACAGUACAUUAUAAAUGUGCAAAGCAAGACUUAAGAUGUUUGAAGAAAAAUGAGCUUUAGAAAGGAGGUAAUGGUAUUGAAGAAAUACUUGAAAAGUGCAAGCCUUUGGAAACAACCACAUAUCUUUAAAUAUGCAGUCAAAUGUAAACAUACCUGAGCCAGAUCCUCAGAUGCUGUAAAUUACUGUAGCUCCAUUGACAUCAAUGAAGCUGUGAUGAUUUAUAGAAAACAUUUAUUUUCUUUACCUCUCUGUUUUAAAGUGAGUUUUGUAUUUCCUAACACUUGUUCAUAAACAUCAAACUAGGAUCAGUUCUAGUCCCCAGUGGAUAUUUGUUCAAAUAGCACAAAAUUGCUGCAGUCUAGAUCCUCAAAAAUCAAUGGGAGUUAGGCACCUAAAUACCUUUGCAGACCUGAUAAUCUGUUCCAGAGAGAUCCCCUGCUAGAAUAGCUGGGUGGUUGUGUAGGUGAGAAUAGCCCUGUGUGGUGUCAAAGUAACCAAUGAAAACAAUAGUGAUGGUAUAAUGAUUGAAUAAUGGAGCACAGGGCAGUACAGUAAGAAAUCAGCAGAGUGAGUAAACAGCUGACCGCCAUGUAAUAAUCACUGUGAUUUUGCAGCGGUUUGUCUUUAACACAAUGGAGAGACAUGGUCUGCUGAUUAAAGCACAAAUGUGAAAGUCAGGUGAUAUGAGUUGUAAUGCUGGCACUGCCCCAGACUUACUGAAUGACCUUGGUAAAGCCACUUAACUUUUCUGUGUCUCAGUGUCUCCAUCUGUAAAGGAGGGAUAAUAAAGAACUGAUGUGAGCUUUAAUUCAUGAAGGCUUGUAAGAUGCUUUGAGAUCCUCUGAUGGAAAAACUGUCUUGAGAAAAGCAAAUUACUGGGACUAGAUCCUCAGCUGGUGUAAAUCAGCAUCAUUACAUUGAAAUCAAUGGAUUUACCCCAGCUGGAGCAAACCAGAUUUACAAUUUAAGGAUCUGCCCCUUUAUAUUUACCGGGAGCUAGGAAAUUGCUACCUCACUUUCAGGAAAGAUUCUUCCUGCGAGCACAUUGAUACUAGCAGAGGACCCCAAGUUUAUGCUAUAUGUCCCCAGCUAUGAGGAAUUGUAAAGGCAAACUGUAGUUCAAUGUCAAAAUAUCUGCUAGCUCUUGUAUGGAAAAAGUGGAAAGCAAGUUAGAAGUCUUGGGUUACCUUUGAUUUUGCUGGCAAGGACAGAGUUAAAUUGGUGUAACUCUCACUAUGGAGGCUGUUCUAGUGAGAUAAAAGUGGAAACAUCUGUACAGCUUCUGUUGGUAACUUUACAGAACUGAUAUAGUAAAAUUAGUGCAAAUAUUGCACAUAGACCAGACCGAAAACUUAAAACGAAUGGACCCUCUUCUUAGAGCUUCUUUAUAUACAAACUGGAGCCAAUUAAACUAAACCAGUAUAGUUAAAUUGUGGAAUCCCCUGUGCAACUCCCUGUGUUAUAUUAUAUUGUUAUAUUGUACACAUUAAAGAGGCAAGAUCAACCAAUAUUAACCAGAUUUAAAUUAUUUUAAGAGAGUCCACACACAAAAUUGCACUGAUUUGUACUAAACUGGUUUAAGAUCACACCUAUAAUUAAAUCCACAAACCUUUGUGCAUAGACCAUGCCUUAGCUUCCAAACUCUCUACUGUCAUAUUACACGAUAGACUGAGGUACUGAUUAUGCCACAGAUAAUGUGGUUGUUAAUGAUCAAGUUAAUGUUAAAAGCCAUUACUGUGUAUUGACAUAAUUCUUGGAACAUUAUGCCGGAGAAGUGCAUCUUUUGUGAAGCAACAAAAUGACAAAAUUGAAAUGUUAAAAGUUGAGUGCCUGAAUUGAGCGCCUGUGAAAUCAUUUAGACAAGAUCAUUGUUGUUGCUAUUGUAAAAGAGCUGGAGAACGACAGAAUGAGAGAGAGAGAGAGAAAACAACACCACACACUGGAGUAUCUUUCCUGGAGGAAGAUGUAAGGUAAAUAGGAUUCCUACUUGACUAUUCCCUCUCUCCAACCUGGAGGGUCUUCACCUAACAACAGAGCACCCUCCUCUGGUAGCUUGCCAAAGAUGAAAGCCUGCAUGGAGCUGUCUGGAGACUGGAAACUUUUAAGCAAGGCAGGGAAAGGACUCACUGCAGUCUAUUCCUAUGUGUUGCUCUAAUACAGGAGCAACAAACUUUGCCUAACUAAAGGCCACUUGCCCUAAACUCUAGGCAGUUGCACCUACCUUACAUAAAACAAGUAAAGGAGUGGCCAUCAGAGACUACAGACCCAGUGGGCAAUGUUCCAGGUUGGUCUGAGCAGCUGAGACCUGUGGUGUUCACAAGCUGCCCUUUAUAUUAAAGUUGAGGGCAGACAUAGAUCGCAUUAUAAAACUCCAUGAGCCGCAUGCCACCCAUGGGCUUCACUUUGCCCAUCUUUGCUUUAAUAAAACAUAAAAGAACACAGAAUUGCAGUAAUGGCUUAGCCAACAGACAGACUGUUAAACGCCUGCAGUGGAGGGACACUUUAAUGAGCAAUAUACUAUACAACAAGCUUGUGUUAAAACAUUGACCCACAACAUUUGGUCCAUAAAAAGAGUUACAUUCACAGAGACUCCUGGCAGUGAUAGUUUUAAUGCAGGAUCCGUGUCAUGGUGUAAAAUAAACAACUUCUGACAAUACAGUAAAUAGACAAAAGCAACAGCAGAAAUCUUUCCAUAUAAAACAAUGAGCAUACGAACAGCUACUAUUAAAUAAUGUUCAUGUUGUUAAACAAAAAAAGCACAAUGGCACAGUUUUAAUGUAGAAAAAUAAUGUAAAUCCUUUGACAUGUCAAUAAAACUGGGCACCUAUCAAGUUCUUGUGCUGGUGCCCAUUCAUGGAAAAAUAUUGAAGGACAUAUAUUGCAUGAUAUUUCUACUGUGUAGUUGCGAUCGGACCUGGGUUUGUGCUGUGCCAAAACUUUAAUAUUAUUGUAAUGGAGCUUUUGUUUGUGAAUUUUUCCAUGCCUUUAAAAAAAAUUCUGCAGAACAGAAAUAUUGUUGUAGAGUCAUUAAAUUUCCCACAGUGUUAUAAUAAGAUCAGAUCCAUUUUCUGCCAAUGAGUUUGGCUGUGUUAGCAGCAACAAGAUCCAAUAUAAUUAGGGAUAGGCAAACUCAGUCUGUAAUAUUCACUCCAUCUCAAACCUUUUAUUUUUGUUUUCAGGUCCGGAGGACUUAAUACAAGGACAUUGUGCCCACUUUCAUUUUCCCUCUCCUGAAUUCACAACACUUCUUCCCUCCAACCCUUCAAUAGACUGUGAAGACUUCACCACUCUUCCUCUUUGUAACCCUCUAAAUGGCCUGCAGAUUUUUCUGAUAGUAUUCUAUUUCUCUUCCUAUAACUCUCCAGUAAACCUUGGCACCUCCCCCAACGAUCAUUCAAUGUGUUCCCUGCCUCCUGUAACCCUCCAACUCAGAAUAUCCUGCUCUGGGUUCACUAGUCCCACAUGGUAUGGGAUCUGAAUUGCAGUCUGAGCACAUAAACAAAAAGUGCAUGAAAUUGGAAUUCAGCAGGGGCCAGGGCCAAUGUGUAGAUUCCUAGUAAUGCUAGAUUCUGCGUGGUAUCUACAAUGGUGGGAUGGAUGUUUUAAGGACAGGAACCUAUUUGUAGGUCAUAAAUUGGGAGAAAGAUAGGACCUAUAUAUCUGUCUUAUCUAUUCUUUUCUAAUAUGACCACCAGUAUAGUAUCAAAUUACGAUAUAGAUAAUUAAGCGAAACAUGAGUUCAUGCAGAGUGGUCCAUACUCUCUUCCAUUUUCUUAUGUUAUGCAGCUUUAUGAUGUGUUUGGUUUUUGUUAUCUUCUAGGAGAAGCAUUGUUGGUCUAUCCUGCUCUCUUAAUUGUGGAGGGAAGUCCUGAGCAGGGUGAUGUGCUUUGCAUUGUGCCCUAAAAAUAUGAAAAAGUUGGGAUGCAUCCUCUUCUCUGGACGUGUGAGACUCUACAGGCACAGGAAGUGCCCAGCCUCCACUCCUGAAGGUCUGAUCCUGGAACCAUCAGCCAUAAUCAUAGAUUCAUAGGACUGGAAGGGACCUUGAGAGGUCAUCUAGUCCAGUGCCCUGCACUCAUGGUAGGACUAAGUAUUAUCUAGACCAUCCCUGACAGAAUCAGCUGCUGCUGUGGGGCAUAUAGAGAGGGGCUAGAGGCUAUAGAGGCUUUAAAGAUGAGAACCAGAAUUCCAUAGCUGAUCUGGAAUUGGAGAGGAUGUCAAAGAGAGAUGCACCAACAUGAUGUGUUUUCAAUGGUUUGACCCACCUACGCAGAGGCCAGUAUGCUGUUCAUUCAGGAAAUAUGUUCUGUGAGAUCCUUAUUAUGGGGGGAAGUGAUAUCCUUAUUAUGGGGGGGGGGAACUUUUACAGGAGCCACUGCUGUUUGAAGUAUAAGUUUAAGUGGAGUCUUCGCAACGGCUGCCGCAAUUGACUCUCCCCUCCCUGCAGCCUAGGGCUGAGAAGCAGAUAAAAUUGUGAAGAGUAUCCCUUAACUUCUUACACGCACAAAAUACCUGAGAAGGGCUCUUCACUUUCAUUGCCUUUGUGCAACAUGAUUAUUCCUGCCUCCCCCAAAACUGUGACCUAAAUAUGGCUGAAAGACACAACAUGUGACCUGCUUAGUGCUGCCUGUCAUGGCCUGGAGCCACAGCAGGAACUCUAUUAGUGGGAACAGCACAGAUGCUACCAGAUGGCCAACAUAUUGUCCAGAGAUGACCCAUGUAUAAUUGCAGAAAGUUCAAUACAUUCAGGUUUUGAAUUUAAUUGCAUUGAUCACCUUAGCUACUGCUGCUACAUGAUUUAAUUUAUUUAAGGUGGAUACUUACUUUGAGAGGGAGAAAUCUGCAUGCUUUUAACUUCACAGAUUUUCUAUUCCACACAACGUAACAGCCCAAACUCUGUAUUUACAGAUGUGCCAAACUGCAUUCAGGUAGUCAAGGAAUAAUGGAGACUUACCCUUUCAUUUUCUGCAAUUGAUUUAGAUAAGAUACUUAGAAUCAAAUUCAGCAGAUUUUACUCAAGCAGAUAACCCACUGAAGUCAGUGAAACCAAACAAUGUGAAACACCGUUGAACUAAAGCUGAAACAAACAAAUGAAAUUAAUUACUUUUGAAGUGGAUAUCACCUUUUUUGAGCUUUAUGAGCCUACUUUUCUGAAAUUAGAAAUUGCCUGUGUGGAAUGUUUCUAGCUAAACUGCUUCAGACAAUUGCAGUCAGGCUAUGGUCCUGAUCCUGAGUGAAUCAAUGGGACUAUGCAUGUGAAUAAGGACUCCUCAUGUAAUGUUUGCUGGUGAAGGCCCUAAGCACCUCUCUAAUUGUAUGGAAGACUAUUUAACUUGUAAAACCUAUCAAGACCAGUUUGUACCAAAUGUGUGCUUAUGUCAUGCAUACACCUUUAUAACAAAGGAUGGAAUGGUCCACCUUAAUUUUAGAUAGGUAGUAGUUGCAAUUAUGUCAGCUACUUACAUUUAUUUGCAGGCAGUCAAUUCAUAUUGAUCAUAACUCAACCUUACAAUGACCUUGAGCAAAGGUAUUCCACGGCUGUUAUAAAUAUUGUGAUCAAUACUGGAGUGCAACUGACUACACCUAGUUACUGAUAAAUGAAGUAAAAAAGUACACUAUUUUCAGAAACAAAGAUAAUUGCUCAUUUAGUCAACUGUUUGCAAAGGUUUAAUAUUGAUACGUGAAGCUAUAACGACAUUCUUGGGCACUUUAAAAUUGUGGGAAACAAUACGGUGCAGAGCCAGUGUAGCAAAUUAAGGCAAAAGAAUCGUUACUUCCCCACUUCAAAUAAGAAAUUUCAUGAUAUUUAUGACAACAAUGCAGAUAACAAAUACAUUCACUUAGCAGUACUUGUUGGAGAUGGCUUGUAUCAAACUACUUCUUUUCUUUAUGCGUGAACCUUAUCUAGUGAAAUAAAACACCAUAUUACUGUACAUGGAACAAAGACUUUAGUACCACUUAUUUUACUCUAGUGCCACUUGCCUUUGUACAUUUGUGCCUGAAUUAAAUUGCACAUCCCCAGGUAUAACUAAUUGUAAUCAUGAGGAAGAGAUCAUUUUGGUCUCAGCACAUCUGCUACAUGUUGAUACAUUUCCCUACACUGACUAAAGUUAAGAGGAAGGAUGUUAGAGAAGUUUUCCUCAGUUGUUCCUUUCACUUUGAAUUCACUCAGAAUUCCACUGAGCAAUGCACUGGCAACUUAAACUGAGACAAAAUAGAAGUCCAUGGGCAAAAUGGUAACAGCUUGUGUUGCUAACUGAGAGACCUGAGCAUAAGAGCUGACCUCCUAGACACUACAUCCAACUGUCAAAUUCUGUCUGGGGAGACAUUUAUUUUGAACAAGGUAGACCUGCUUCUCCCCCAAAUCCACUGGUAUCUUUCUCAGACAGGCUGCUGUCACUACGACUGAUGCCCAGGGCUGAGAUGCUAAGUGCACUGGAUACUCUGGGGCAUCUCAGCUGUAGAAUGAAGUGAGAGCCAGUAGCACUUACAGCAGCAGGAUUGCAGGAGCAUUUCUUUGUCCCCUAUCAGCUACCCUGAUAAGCCACAGAAGUUUUCUUUUCCUUCCAUGCUUUUUGCAGUUCAACUUUUAUUUAAACCCAUUUUAUAAUUACAUCACAGGGUUUUUGGAAAUAGAUAUUUACAUCUGUGACAUACUUUACUAAAGACAUUAAUUAAAUGGUGAGAGAUGGUUAAUGCUCCUGAAAUCAGAAACAGGAGGCAAAACAUUCUCCAGAUCCAGACCUCCCAUCAAUCUCUCCACUGCUUAAAUGUUUUCCUCAUAUACUUACUUUUCUCUCUUGAUCCCUGGAGUUAGUAUGAUCAUAUUUCCUACACCCCAUACACUAGACUUUUUUGCACACUUAUGUUUUCUUUUUUCUUACAGUCAGGUCCUUCUCCCAGAUUCCUUUAGAUCUUACACACCAGUGAAGCUAUUUAUUAAGAAACCUGUGUUUUCAGAACAGCAGUACAUCAAUAAAUGACCGAGUGGUUCAGUUAGUCAGCAUUCUGGGAAAUCCUUUGCUAUAUUGAAGAACUGUAAAUCUCCAUUAUU